GAUGAACGCUGGCGGCGUGCCUAAUACAUGCAAGUCGAGCGAACGGACGAGAAGCUUGCUUCUCUGAUGUUAGCGGCGGACGGGUGAGUAACACGUGGAUAACCUACCUAUAAGACUGGGAUAACUUCGGGAAACCGGAGCUAAUACCGGAUAAUAUUUUGAACCGCAUGGCUCAAAAGUGAAAGACGGUCUUGCUGUCACUUAUAGAUGGAUCCGCGCUGCAUUAGCUAGUUGGUAAGGUAACGGCUUACCAAGGCAACGAUGCAUAGCCGACCUGAGAGGGUGAUCGGCCACACUGGAACUGAGACACGGUCCAGACUCCUACGGGAGGCAGCAGUAGGGAAUCUUCCGCAAUGGGCGAAAGCCUGACGGAGCAACGCCGCGUGAGUGAUGAAGGUCUUCGGAUCGUAAAACUCUGUUAUUAGGGAAGAACAUAUGUGUAAGUAACUGUGCACAUCUUGACGGUACCUAAUCAGAAAGCCACGGCUAACUACGUGCCAGCAGCCGCGGUAAUACGUAGGUGGCAAGCGUUAUCCGGAAUUAUUGGGCGUAAAGCGCGCGUAGGCGGUUUUUUAAGUCUGAUGUGAAAGCCCACGGCUCAACCGUGGAGGGUCAUUGGAAACUGGAAAACUUGAGUGCAGAAGAGGAAAGUGGAAUUCCAUGUGUAGCGGUGAAAUGCGCAGAGAUAUGGAGGAACACCAGUGGCGAAGGCGACUUUCUGGUCUGUAACUGACGCUGAUGUGCGAAAGCGUGGGGAUCAAACAGGAUUAGAUACCCUGGUAGUCCACGCCGUAAACGAUGAGUGCUAAGUGUUAGGGGGUUUCCGCCCCUUAGUGCUGCAGCUAACGCAUUAAGCACUCCGCCUGGGGAGUACGACCGCAAGGUUGAAACUCAAAGGAAUUGACGGGGACCCGCACAAGCGGUGGAGCAUGUGGUUUAAUUCGAAGCAACGCGAAGAACCUUACCAAAUCUUGACAUCCUUUGACAACUCUAGAGAUAGAGCUUUCCCCUUCGGGGGACAAAGUGACAGGUGGUGCAUGGUUGUCGUCAGCUCGUGUCGUGAGAUGUUGGGUUAAGUCCCGCAACGAGCGCAACCCUUAAGCUUAGUUGCCAUCAUUAAGUUGGGCACUCUAAGUUGACUGCCGGUGACAAACCGGAGGAAGGUGGGGAUGACGUCAAAUCAUCAUGCCCCUUAUGAUUUGGGCUACACACGUGCUACAAUGGACAAUACAAAGGGCAGCGAAACCGCGAGGUCAAGCAAAUCCCAUAAAGUUGUUCUCAGUUCGGAUUGUAGUCUGCAACUCGACUACAUGAAGCUGGAAUCGCUAGUAAUCGUAGAUCAGCAUGCUACGGUGAAUACGUUCCCGGGUCU
rnacentral:rRNA from 1 species